rnacentral:lncRNA from 1 species
AUCCCCUUCGGCCAUGGACUCCCGCGCCGCCGUUCGAUCCGUUCGCCUCCGACCACCUCGUGCCACCCCGAGCUCGUCAAUGCGUUCACUGUGAGCUUGCGCACCUCCUCUCCCUCUUCAUCUGCUCACGCGCGUACUCUAGUCGCGGGUUCGUGUAGCACCACCUUCGUCACCGCCGCGGACCACUCCGACCACGCAUGUCCGCGGCCGCCUUCCCCUGACCGUUCCCCGUGCCGCCCUGUUGCUGAUGCGCCGUGCUCAAUUAACCCUGAUCAAUUAACCUAAUCAGCUAAUUAAAUUAACUAAUCUGUUAAUUAGACUAACUGACUAGGUUAACUAGCUAACAACCUAUGACAUGAGGGACCCAUGCGUCAGUUUGACCAAGUCAACUAAUUGUUGACUGCUGACAUCAACCUGAUGUCAUGCUGACGUCAUAAUGGCAUUUUCUUAUUAAAUUAAUUCUGUUAAUUCUAAAAAUAAUUAAAACUUUAGAAAAUCAUAUAAAAUAAUCCGUAACUCGGAUGAAAAAACUGUGUACAUGAAAGUUGUUCAGAACGACAAGACGAAUCCGGAUACGUAGCCCGCUCAUCCGCCACACAUCCCUAGCAUAGUGAACCUGCAACAUUUUACCUCCGGUUCAUCUGUCCGAAAACGCGAAACACCGGGAAUACUUUCCCGGAUGUUUCCCCCUUUCGCCGGUAUCACCUACUACCACGUUAGGGCACAUCUAGCACUGCGUUUGUUAUGUUAUGCUUUGUGAUGCUUUGAUUGCUCUGUUAUUUAUUGUGUUCCCCCUCCGUUACUUCUUUGCGGUAGACCCCGAGACCGCUGCCGGUACCCCUGUGAUCGACUACAUCGACGACGAACCCUUCUCUUGCCAGAUGAACCAGGCAAGCCCCCCCCCCCUUGAUCACCAGAUAUCGCCUAUUCUUCUCUAUACUGCUUGCAUUAGAGUAGUGUAGCAUGUUACUGCUUUCCGUUAAUCCUAUCCUGAUGCAUAGCCUGUCAUUGUUGCUACAGUAGUUACCCUUACCUGCUAUCCUACUGCUUAGUAUAGGAUGCUAGUGUUCCAUCAGUGGCCCUACACUCUUGUCCGUCUGCCGUGCUAUACUACUGGGCCGUGAUCACUUCGGGAGGUGAUCACGGGUAUAUACUAUAUACAUUAUAUACAUGACACAUGUGGUGACUAAAGUCGGGUCGGCUCGAGGAGUACCCGCAAGUGAUUCUGAUGAGGGGGCUGAAAGGACAUGUGGCUCCACCCCGGUAGAGGUGGGCCUGGGUUCCUGACGGCCCCCGACUGUUACUUUAUGGCGGAGCGAUAGGGCAGGUUUAGACCGCCUAGGUGAGAGGUGGGCCUGGCCCUAGUCGGCGUUCGCGGAUACUUUACACGCUUAACGAGAUCUUGGUAUUUGAUCUGAGUCUGGCCAUUUGGUUUAUACGCACUAACCAUCUACGCGGGAGUAGUUAUGGGUAUCCCGGCGUCGUGGUAUCAGCCGAAGUUCUUCUUGACGUCAGCGACGGAGCGGCGCGCGCCGGAUUGGACUGGAACGCCUGCUAGGCUAGGUCUGCUUCCAGCCGCCCUCGCAACGUGCAGGUGUGCAUAGGGCGAUGGGCCCAGACCCCUGCGCGCAUAGGGUUAGACCGGCAUGUUGACCUCUCGGUUGAGCCUAGGUGGGGCUGUGACGCGUUGAUCUUACGAGGCCGGGCAUGACCCAGAAAAGUGUGUCCGGCCAAAUGGGAUCGAGCGUGUUGGGUUAUGUGGUGCACCCCUGCAGGGAAGUUUAUCUAUUCGAAUAGCCGUGUCCCUCGGUAAAAGGACGACCCGGAGUUGUACCUUGACCUUAUGACAACUAGAACUGGAUACUAAAUAAAAGACACCCUUCCAAGUGCCAGAUACAACCCGGUGAUCGCUCUCUAACAGGGCGACAAGGAGGGGAUCGCCGGGUAGGAUUAUGCUAUGCGAUGCUACUUGGAGGACUUCAAUCUACUCUCUUCUACAUGCUGCAAGAUGGAGAUGGCCAGAAGCGUAGUCUUCGACUGGAAUAGCUAUCCCCCUCUUAUUCUGGCAUUCUGCAGUUCAGUCCACUGAUUUGGCCCUUUACACAUAUACCCAUUGCAUAUGUAGUGUAGCUCCUUGCUUGCGAGUACUUUGGAUGAGUACUCACGGUUGCUUUUCUCCCUCUUUUCCCCCUUGUAUACCUGAUUGUCGCAACCAGAUGCUGGAGUCCAGGAGCCAAAGAUCCCGAGGAUGUUUCUACAUGGAGUUCGGCUUCGAGGAGUAGUUAGGAGGUCGCAGGCAGGAGGCCUUGCCUUUUCGAUCGUUGCUACUUUUGUGCUAGCCUUCUUAAGGCAAACUUGUUUAACUUAUGUCUGUACUCAGAUAUUGUUGCUUCCGCUGACUCGUCUAUGAUCGAGCACUUGUAUUCGAGCCCUCGAGGCCCCUGGCUUGUAUUAUGAUGCUUGUAUGAC